AUCGAUUGAUGUUCUUGGCGCAAGUUGACAUCUCUAGAGCGUGGAAGUUGUGAAGAGGGGAUUAUUGAUUCCGACAAAUCCUUUGGUGGAAUAUUUAUAACUAAAUUGAUUUUAUGGGUUACCUUUUCUAUCUGUGCUAAUAAAGAACACUAACGGCAGUAACAUUUUAAGAGCACCUGUUCAACUGAAUUUUGGCAAAUCAUAUACCCAGCGACCCACACAAACACACAGAGAGACACACAAAAACACACACACACAAGUAAAAUGGUGGACGCUGCCAGACAAAUGCUCGAUGAGCUAAUGGGCCGCAAUCGAAAUUUGCAUCCCUCAGAGGCCGGACAGGCGGUCAACUGGGAAGAUCCAGAGUUUUGUCAGUUCUACAAUGUCAAGUUCUGUCCACACGACCUGUUCAUUAACACACGGGCCGAUCUGGGUCCCUGUGUGCGCAUCCACGACGAGGAGGCGAAACACUUGUACGAGGAGGCGCGUCCGUCGCAGCGGAAGCGUCACACGGAGGAUGAGUUUCUGCGUUUUUGCAAUGUGAUGCUGCACGAUGUGGAUCGCAAGAUACAGAAGGGCAAACAACGCUUGCAGUUGAUGCAGCGCGAUCAUCCGUCAACUCCUGUGAAUCAGGCUGCCAAGCAUGAGGAGCAGUUGAGCAAUCUGAAUGCACGUAUUAAUAAGUUGCUUGCCGAAGCAGAGGAGGCGGGCAUACGCGGGGAUGUGGAUCAGGCUCAGGAUCUAAUGACAAUCUGCGAGGAACUGAAGGAGGAGAAGGAGACGUUGCAGCAACAGUAUGAGGCAAAUGUUAAGCAAUUCAAUAAACUGAGAGCUGCACCAGGAGCACCGACCACGCCUACGUUAUCAGCGAACGCCACGGAACCGCCAAGCGGUGAAGAUGCUCUUGCCCACAGUCCCACAGCCAACAACAACAACAUCAGCAGCGACGCUGUCUCCAAUGACGGCAACGAGUCCCCUGAAGCUAGCGAAGAGACAACAACAACAGCCACAACAACAGAACAGGCAGCAGGAACAGGCGGAGGGGGAGGUGGAGGCGGUGCUCCAACUGCCAGCGAUGCUGCAACGUCCGAUGAGAACAAGUCGGACGCUAAAACAGAUGGCAAAUCGCCAGUCAAUUGGUCUCACGAUGCGCUGCCCGAGAAACAGAUGAAAGUCUGUGAAAUCUGUGGCGCAUUCCUCAUUGUCGGCGAUGCCCAGCAACGCAUCGAGGAUCAUCUGAUGGGCAAACAACAUUUGGGUUACUCCAAACUGCGCAAUGCCGUCGCCGAAAUCAACGAGCGGCGUCAAAAGGAGCGAGAGGAAGAAGAGCGAAGACGUCGUGAUGAUCGUGUCCAGCGCUUUCACAACAGCUACGACAAUAGACGCGAUCAACGUGACUAUCGGGAACGCAGUCGUGACUAUGCGCCCAAUCGACAAUCAUCGGAUAGAAGGCAUCAUCACCACAAAUCACAUCACGGUCAUUCGUAUUCACGGAGUGGCAGUCACAGCAGCGGCAGCAGCAGUCGCAGUCGCCAUAAUCAUUAUCGUCACGACAGUCGGGAGCGUCAUUGUCGCAGUCGUAGUCGCAGUCGCUACUAAAAGGAUACCAAAAAAAAAAAAAAAAUACAAACAAAACAAAACAAAACAAUAACAACAAGAGAAGGAAAGAACGAAAGCUAAAGCAACAUAAACAAAAGAUAAAAACAUUUAUAAAAAGAGAGAAAGUGAGUGAUUCGUCUGUAAUCAAAUUAACUCAAAGAUACAACAACAUCAACAAUCGCAACCGCAACAACAACAACAACUACAACUGUCUGUCAAACGAACCCAACGCGCUGCCCCUGUCUCUGUCUCCAUGCAGCAUCGAGGUACUCCAAAACAAUAAUAAUAACACAUUUCAAUAAUAUGUCAAAAAAAAAAAACUCAAUUCAGACAGCCUAAAAAAAAUCCAAGACACAUGUGUGAGCUUUCCAAAUAUGCGAAUGGAGGAUCAACAUGCGACAAGCGGCCUGAGAGUCCCUCUCCUUCUCUCUCCCUGUUCUGACUUGGGAGAAAUUGUUGUUGUGAUUGUCUGCGGUGAAGAAUAUCUCCAGGUAACUUCUAUGACCACAACACCCAGUAAUGUUUCUUCAAGACAGACGAAAGACGAUGACGCCGUAACGAGUAGCGAGUAACGAGUGGCGAAUAACGAGUAACGGUGACGGGAUCACCGUAUCAACACUCAUGUUAACUGUAAUAACUGCAUGAGAUACGAGGUGAAUUUCAAUUUCUCUCCUUUUAUCUCUAUAUAUACAUAUGUAUAAUUAUAUAUAUAUAUGCAUAUGUAUAUCAUACAAUCCUAUAUAUUGCUUCCUCCGCCUUUAUCUGUCUGUUUUCACACUUUAAAUUGAAGAACAACAACAACACAGACACAACAG